UACGAAGGUGGCAAGCGUUGUUCGGAAUUACUGGGCGUAAAGCGUGCGCAGGCGGUUUUGUAAGCCAGAUGUGAAAUCCCCGGGCUCAACCUGGGAAUGGCAUUUGGGACUGCAAGGCUUGAGUGCGGCAGAGGAGACUGGAAUUCCUGGUGUAGCAGUGAAAUGCGUAGAUAUCGGGAGGAACACCAGUGGCGAAGGCGACUACCUGGCCUGUUCUUGACGCUGAGGCGCGAAAGCUAGGGGAGCAAACGGG
rnacentral:rRNA from 1 species